AUGAUGAUUGAUUUCAUGCCAAUUAUGUAUGUCUUUUGUGAACAACCUGUUAUGAUAGUGCUUGUUAAAAAUGUGAUGAAAUGCUUGCCAAAAUUUGUCAUGCUUACACAUUCUGGGAAUAUUGCAAAGCACAUUCUGGAAAUAUUUCAUAAUGUCAUCGCUACAUGCACCAUACAUUGUUCACUGCCAAUGUUUCUUGCACAUUUGGCAACUAAAAACACAUUUCAGCUCCUACUUCAUUACAACAGCAUACAAGUUCACGGCAAGAAUCAUGGUACAAACAAGCAGAAUCUUCCAACCUAUGCCUACAACAAGAUCCAACUGAAGCUUGAUAUCUUCAGCAAUCUGGCUCAUCUGAUUUCCAGAAAUGUUGCUAAUCUUCUUGACCACACUUUCUACCCUGCUAUCUUUCUCUAUGAAACUAGCACGAAUGUUUGGCUUCGUUCCUUUGGUUGUCAUCUCCCUGUCCAGAUAGGGCUUGGAAAUCAUUGCAAUGUACUCCACCUCCUCUUUAGGAAUAUUAUAACCAUGGCACAAAACAAGAUCCAAAUAUUCAUCUAUCCGGUGAUAGCAGUCACAAGAUCCAUGUGA
rnacentral:rRNA from 1 species